rnacentral:rRNA from 1 species
UACGUAGGGGGCUAGCGUUGUCCGGAAUCAUUGGGCGUAAAGCGCGUGUAGGCGGCCCGGUAAGUCCGCUGUGAAAGUCCAGGGCUCAACCCUGGGAUGCCGGUGGAUACUGUCGGGCUCGAGUCCGGAAGAGGCGAGUGGAAUUCCUGGUGUAGCGGUGAAAUGCGCAGAUAUCAGGAGGAACACCAAUGGCGAAGGCAGCUCGCUGGGACGUGACUGACGCUGAGGAGCGAAAGCGUGGGGAGCGAACAGG